rnacentral:rRNA from 1 species
CUAAGAGCGAACGGUGGAUGCCUUGGCUAGUAGAGGCGAUGAAAGACGUGCCAGACUGCGAUAAGUCUCGGGGAGCCGUCAAGGGGCUUUGAUCCGGGAAUUUCUGAAUGGGGCAACCCAAUACAUAGCGAUAUGUGUUACCAUUAAUGGAGCCAACGCGGGGAACUGAAACAUCUAAGUACCCGCAGGAAGAGAAAUCAAUAGAGAUUACGCUAGUAGCGGCGAGCGAACGCGUAAGAGGGCAAACCACUAGUUUACUAGUGGGGUUGUAGGACCGCAACAUAGACUAGGAUCUGAUAAUAGAACAAUCUGGAAAGGUUAGGCAUAGAGGGUGAUACUCCCGUAUAUGAAAUCACAUCCUUACUUAGCGGUAUCCUGAGUAGGACGGGACACGUGAAAUCCUGUCUGAAGCCGGGUCGACCACGAUCCAACCCUAAAUACUACUACUAGACCGAUAGCGUACAAGUACCGUGAGGGAAAGGUGAAAAGAACGGCGGUGAGCCGAGUGAAAUAGAACCUGAAACCGUUUGCUUACAAUCAUUCAGAGCACUAUGUGGGUCUGUUUGAAUAUUAAGGACGGCUUGUCUUUUGGCGAUAAAUUAAUGAGUUCGAUUUUUUCUCAAUCGAUAGGCUAAAAGCCUUAUCUCAAUCGAAAAAAUCUUCACAACAUUAAUUUCUCAUCCAAAAUACCGCGCCUUUAGGCGGGUAUAUCUUGUUUUUACAAUUUUUUUAUAAAUCAUCGGAUUAAAUUUGAAAUUUUAAAAGUAAAAAGAGGUAAAACUUCUAGAAUCAGAAUUUCAAACCGUAGAUUAAAUUUAAAUAGAUCAAAUUUAAAAUUUAAAUCAAACAAGAUAAGACGAUCCAAGAUUAGUAUUGAAACAGAUCCACAGUGUGAUGGACUGCCUUUUGCAUAAUGAGCCUGCGAGUUGUGGUGUCUGGCGAGGUUAAGGAAACCCGGAGCCGUAGCGAAAGCGAGUCUUAAUAGGGCGAUUAGUCAGAUGCUGCAGACCCGAAACGAUGUGAUCUAUCCAUGAGCAGGUUGAAGCCGGUGUAAGAGCCGGUGGAGGACCCAACCGACGGCCGUUGAAAAGGCUCCGGAUGACUUGUGGAUAGGGGUGAAAGGCCAAUCAAACAUCGUGAUAGCUGGUUCUCUCCGAAAUAUAUUGAGGUAUAGCGUCGUGUAGUAGUUAUAAGGGGUAGAGCACUGAAUGGGCUAGGGCAUACACCAAUGUACCAAACCCUAUCAAACUCCGAAUACUUAUAGCGUAACCACGGCAGUCAGGCGGCGAGUGAUAAAAUCCGUCGUCAAGAGGGAAACAACCCGGACUAACAGCUAAGGUCCCCAAAUCUCAUUUAAGUGGAAAACGAUGUGAAGUUACUGAAACAACCAGGAGGUUGGCUUAGAAGCAGCCAUCCUUUAAAGAUAGCGUAAUAGCUCACUGGUCUAGUGAUUUUGCGCGGAAAAUAUAACGGGGCUAAAAUGAGUACCGAAGCUUUAGAUAGUGUCUAUGAUUAUUUAUACUAGCUUGUCUCUUUGGCAUCUUUAAAUGAGCUUCAUUUUUUCUCCUGCGGCAACCUACACCGGUUAGCCUUAGUCGAAAAAAUAUCAGCAACAUUUAAAUAUGCGCAAAGAUACUUCGCUUUCUGCAUUCAAAUUUGAAUGCAAGGUCUUAAUCUAAAUUUUAUAAAUUUCAAAUUUCUUAGAAUUUUAAAAUUUAGCAACAAAAAGCAAAAAGACAAGCCUAAGUAAAGUAUAAAUACUCAUAGACACUGUGGUAGGAGAGCGUUCCAAUAAGCGUCGAAGCCGUACCGGUAAGGAGCGGUGGAGCGGUUGGAAGUGAGCAUGCAGGCAUGAGUAGCGAUAAAAUACGUGAGAAUCGUAUUCGCCGUAAACCCAAGGUUUCCUACGCGAUGCUCGUCAUCGUAGGGUUAGUCGGGUCCUAAGCAAAGUCCGAAAGGGGUAUGCGAUGGAAAAUCGGUUAAUAUUCCGAUACCGAUAUCAGUGUGCGACGGAAGGACGCUUAAAGUUAGUGGAGCUAGCGGAUGGAAGUGCUAGUCUAAGGAAGUAGGUUGAGUUAUAGGCAAAUCCGUAACUCUUUAUCCGAGAUCUGAAAGGCUUCUGACGCUCUUCGGAGUAGAUGAAGAAUCCAUGAUACUAUCGAGCCGAGAAAAGUUUCUAAGUUUAGCUGAUAUCGCCCGUACCGUAAACCGACACAGGUGGGUGGGAUGAGUAUUCUAAGGCGCGUGGAAGAACUCUCUUUAAGGAACUCUGCAAAAUAGCACCGUAUCUUCGGUAUAAGGUGUGCCUAGCUUCGUUAAGAAUUUACUUCGUAAGCGAAGAAGGUUACAACAAAGAGUCCCUCCCGACUGUUUACCAUAAACACAGCACUCUGCUAACUCGUAAGAGGAUGUAUAGGGUGUGACGCCUGCCCGGUGCUCGAAGGUUAAUUGAUGACGUUAGCUUACGCAAAGCGUCUGAUCGAAGCCCGAGUAAACGGCGGCCGUAACUAUAACGGUCCUAAGGUAGCGAAAUUCCUUGUCGGUUAAAUACCGACCUGCAUGAAUGGCGUAACGAGAUGGGAGCUGUCUCAAAGAGGGAUCCAGUGAAAUUGUAGUGGAGGUGAAAAUUCCUCCUACCCGCGGCAAGACGGAAAGACCCCGUGGACCUUUACUAUAGCUUGACACUGCUACUUGGAUAAAGAUGCGCAGGAUAGGUGGGAGGCUUUGAGUCGUAGAUCUUGGUUUACGAUGAGCCAUUGUUGAGAUACCACUCUUCUUUAUUCGGGUAGCUAACUAGCCUAAGUUAUCCUUAGGUAGGACAAUGUCUGGUGGGUAGUUUGACUGGGGCGGUCGCCUCCCAAAAUGUAACGGAGGCUUACAAAGGUUGGCUCAAAGCGGUUGGAAAUCGCUUGUAGAGUAUAAAGGCAAAAGCCAGCUUAACUGCGAGACAUACACGUCGAGCAGAGACGAAAGUCGGUCUUAGUGAUCCGGUGGUUCUGUGUGGAAGGGCCAUCGCUCAAAGGAUAAAAGGUACCCCGGGGAUAACAGGCUGAUCUCCCCCAAGAGCUCACAUCGACGGGGAGGUUUGGCACCUCGAUGUCGGCUCAUCGCAUCCUGGGGCUGGAGCAGGUCCCAAGGGUAUGGCUGUUCGCCAUUUAAAGCGGUACGCGAGCUGGGUUCAGAACGUCGUGAGACAGUUCGGUCCCUAUCUGCCGUGGGCGUAAGAAGAUUGAGGAGAGUUGACCCUAGUACGAGAGGACCGGGUUGAACUGACCACUGGUGUACCGGUUGUUCUGCCAAGAGCACCGCCGGGUAGCUAAGUCGGGAUGUGAUAAGAGCUGAAAGCAUCUAAGCUCGAAGCCGACUCCAAGAUGAAUCUUCUUUUAAGAGCUCUAGUAGACUACUAGUUUGAUAGGCCGGAUGUGUAAUGGAUGAAAGUCCUUUAGCUGACCGGUACUAAUAGCUCGUUUGCUUAUCUU